AUUGAACGCUGGCGGCAUGCCUUACACAUGCAAGUCGAACGGCAGCACGGGGCAACCUGGUGGCGAGUGGCGAACGGGUGAGUAAUGCAUCGGAACGUACCUUUCAGUGGGGGGAUAACGUAGCGAAAGUUACGCUAAUACCGCAUAUUCUGUGAGCAGGAAAGCAGGGGAUCGCAAGACCUUGCGCUGAUUGAGCGGCCGAUGUCAGAUUAGCUAGUUGGUGAGGUAAAGGCUCACCAAGGCGACGAUCUGUAGCGGGUCUGAGAGGAUGAUAGGCCACACGGGAACUGAGACACGGUCCAGACUCCUACGGGAGGCAGCAGUGGGGAAUUUUGGACAAUGGGGGCAACCCUGAUCCAGCCAUGCCGCGUGAGUGAAGAAGGCCUUCGGGUUGUAAAGCUCUUUCGGCCGGGAAGAAAUCGCACGGGCUAAUACCCUGUGUGGAUGACGGUACCGGAAUAAGAAGCACCGGCUAACUACGUGCCAGCAGCCGCAGUAACAC
rnacentral:rRNA from 1 species